AUGAUGGACUAUAGGACAGGACUGCUGCUUUUAACUCUCUGCUGGGCAGGUGUUGAUGGUCAGACUCUGACAGAAUCUGAACCAGCGAUUAAAAGACCUGGAGAAUCCCACAGAUUGACCUGUACAACAUCUGGAUUCACAUUCAGCAGCUACGAAAUGAACUGGGUCAGACAGGCUCCUGGAAAAGGACUGGAGUGGAUCGCUUACAUCAGCACAUCUAGUUCUUAUCUCUAUUACUCCCAGUCAGUCCAGGGGAGAUUCACCAUCUCAAGAGAUGACUCCAGCAGUAAACUCUAUCUUCAGAUGAACAGUCUGAAGACCGAGGACACAGCAGUGUAUUACUGUGCACGAGAGACACAGUGA